GUUGGCUCUGGUUGACUGCGCCCGCCAGAGGACCCAAACUCGUUCGUUUAGUGAUGUCUGAGUACUAUAUAAUAGUUAAAACUUUCAACAACGGAUCUCUUGGUUCUGGCAUCGAUGAAGAACGCAGCGAAAUGCGAUAAGUAAUGUGAAUUGCAGAAUUCAGUGAAUCAUCGAAUCUUUGAACGCACAUUGCGCCCUUUGGUAUUCCGAAGGGCAUGCCUGUUCGAGCGUCAUUAUAACCACUCAAGCCCCUGGCUUGGUAUUGGGGUCUCGCGGUUCCGCGGCCCUUAAAAUCAGUGGCGGUGCCGUCUUGGCUCUAAGCGUAGUAAUUCUCUCGCUAUAGGGUCUCGGCGGUAGCUUGCUAGAAACCCCCUCUAUUUUUCCACGGUUGACCUCGGAUCAGGUAGGGAUACCCCGCUGA
rnacentral:rRNA from 1 species